GCCUGAGUGGCUCAGUCGGUUAAGCAUCUGACUUCUGCUCAGGUCAUGAUCUCACAGUUUGUGGGUUCGAGCCCCACGUCGGGCU
rnacentral:tRNA from 1 species